GUUGGACCCAUUUGAAUGGAGAAUGCGGGAACAUCAGACAGCGCUUAACAAUAAUAAAUGUAAUUUUUGAAGCAUAUCAGUCAAGCAUGGCACAGUCAUUGAGACACUCCCUUGCUGUUCAAAUAAUAAAAGAAAAUUCCCCUAUUUGAGUUUUCACGACUUUCCAGCUGAUGCUGAGGUACGCGCCCGUUGGGUGAGGGCAAUCAGACGGGAUGAAGGGCCCAACUUCAAAAUCCUACGUGGGAGCACUUUCGUCUGCAGUCAGCACUUUUCGCCAGAGGAUAAGACCAUCUGUGCCAGUGGACGAACUAGGAUUAGGAAAGGGGCAGUGCCCUCCAGAUUCGUGUGGAAUGACUGGGGCAAAGGAGGAGGCUCACAAGCUCGAGAGUCAGUUUACCAGCGAGCAAGAAAAUGCCUUAGUGUUGCAGAUGACUCUGAGGAGAUGCCUGUCCCAGGAAGCAGCACAGAGGAGGCAUCCCCUGCUGCAGCGCUAAAUGAUCAUGACUACACCUGCCAUCCUUCUCCUAUUCUGUCUUACAGAAAACAGAGAUAUGUGGUUGUAAAUUAUAUAGUGAUUAUCUUCAGGAUAUCUAUCUAUCUAUCUAUCUAUCUAUCUAUCUAUCUAUAUGUAUAUAUAUAUAUAUAUAUAUGUAUAUAUGUAUAUGGCAUUAGAGACAUUACCCUGUAACCCUAAAUAUUGUGUUCAUUUCUUCACCUUAUAAAAGUUAAGAAUUGCUGUUAAGUUUACUAAUAACAUUCAGUUAUGAGAACAAAGCGAAAAUGUAUAGACGAAUAAGUGAUACCUAUCAAGAUGUAUGCUCUUUAUUCCUCUAAAGGUAAAAUGGACAGUGCCGUUCGGAGGAUUCAAGAGUUGGAGGUGCAAGUUUUGACACUAGAACAUGAAAUCCAGCAGCUGACAGUUAAGAAUCAGCAGCCACUGAUUUUCAAGUUUUGUGUCACCAAAGAGGACUUCCGUUACUACACAAGAUUCAGCUCAAAGGAGGUCUUCACUGUGUUCUGGGAGUCUGUUUACCCCUCUGCUUCAAGGCUUGUCUAUUGGUCAAAAGCACAGCGAGCAGAUGUAGUGAUACCUAGCCCACAGCGAAAGCUUGCACUGAUUGAUGAACUGUUCAUGUUUCUCUGUCGCGUUGCAGCUGGGCUUCAGGAGAAGGAGAAGUACAGUUUGUCGCAUCAUUUUACCAGGUUCUGGGCUCGCUACCAUCAUGGAUGACAAGAGAGCAAGUACAGGCCACAAUGCCCGACAAGUUCAGGCUCUGCUGUCCUCAGCUUAGAGUGAUUAUAGACUGCACAGAGAUCCACUGUGAAACAGCAUCCUCCCUCUCAUUACAGUCAGAAACCUUUUCAAGCUACAAAAAUCACACCACCUUUAAAGGUCUGAUUGGCAUUGCUCCAUGUGGUGUUAUCACGUUUGUGUCCAAACUGUACACAGGCUCCAUUUCAGACAUAGAGAUAACAAAGAAAUCACAGAUUCUACAAUUACUUCAGCCAGGGGAUGGGGUAAUGGCUGAUAAGGGUUUCCUGAUCGAGAGGAUGCUGUCAGAGGUGGGGGUAACACUUAUAAAGAAGUCCACCCAGCUCAGCAAGGAAGACACCCAGAAGACCCAGGCUAUUGCCCGUCUGAGGAUUUUAGUGGAGAGGGCCAUACGCAGGGUGCAGGAAUACCACAUUUGGGAUGGGCUUGUUCCUCUCUCUUUGGUUGGAUCAGUCAAUCAGCUGUGGGUCAUCUGUUGCCCAAUGUUAAACUAUCAAGGACCUCUUGAUAUCAUGGGGGACAAACCAGUCUGAGGCCUCCUAUUCAGGUCACAUAUACAGUAUCUAAUACAUAUGUCUAGCUAAAUGAACAAUUCAGUUUAAAAUAAUACUGAGAUAAGUAGUCUCAAAAUACACCACUGUUUUGGACAGCAAGAGAAAUGUCUUUUUUUGCUUAAUUUCACCACUUAUCCUCAAAAUUUUACAACUUUUUUCUACAAAUGUUCUGACUUUUUCUAGAAAUUUUAUGACACUCUUUCUAUGAAUUUUGUGUUUUUUCUAGAAAUUGUGACUUUUUUCAAUAAAAAAUUGUUCACAAAAAAAAAAAUUUGACUUUUUUCUAGAAAUUUCUCUAAAAUGUUUUAAAAAUUUGCACCAGUUCUCAAAAGAUUUGGUCAUUUUUCCCCACAUGAAACUACUUUAUUAGUGUAUAUUUGUUGUCUAUUAAUCAUCUUUGCAUUGACUAUUUAACAUAAAAGUAGUUAUUGUAACAAGUCAAUUUUGCAUCUCACACGUAUGUAACUCUUAACUGGCACUCAGGUCUGUGACUUAUUUAAAAUCCAUUGUAAAGUGGCACGAGACAUCCAAAAGGUUGUUGACCCCUGAUGUACAGUAAAUGUAACGUUCACUGAUUAUAUUGAAAAUGAAAUGCUAUAUUACUUCAGUGUUUCAAAUGUUAUUUUUCAAUAUUAUUACGCUUUGAAAAAUUCUUUGUGAUACUGCUCAGCAAAGCAUCAGUUGAUAAGUACUGCACCAGUUCUUGUGAAAUCUGUAAGACUAUACUUGAGUACUGAAUGUAAAGAAAUGUGCUCUUGGAUCUUAUCUGCAGUUUGAACAAUGUGCAGUUACCUCUUAUGGCCUUAAGGUGGCAUAUUUAAUGUAUUUUGCCUGAGAUUCCAUGUUAACAUAAGGAAGGCCAUUUUUUAAAUGAAUGUCAUUAUUUUAAUGUCUAUACCAACAAAAAGUACAUAGUGCUGCUGAUUUUAUAUAUUUCUGAAAAUAA